rfam:Streptococcus dysgalactiae subsp. dysgalactiae ATCC 27957 chromosome, whole genome shotgun sequence.
UAUUCCUUUAAAACAGUCCCGUGAGGCUGUCAAGGAGACCAAUCUGAAAAAGUGCACCAUUGUACCCAAUUGUGCCAUAUUUUGUUGAAUCUCCUUGUUAUCAAGGAGAUUUUUUUUAUU